rnacentral:rRNA from 1 species
UACAGAGGGGGCAAGCGUUAUUCGGAAUUAUUGGGCGUAAAGGGCGCGUAGGCGGCCUGGCAAGUGGAAGGUGAAAUCCCUCGGCUUAACCGAGGAACUGCCCUCCAAACUGCUUGGCUUGAGUCCGGGAGAGGUGAGUGGAAUUCCCAGUUGUAGCGGUGAAAUGCGUAGAUAUGCGGAGGAACACCGAUGGCGAAGGCAAUCCCCUGGACCUGUACUGACGCUCAUGCGCGAAGCCGAAUGG